CUAUCUACAGUGGGCGCAAGAAAUUUGAGUGGAUCUGAUCCUAGUACGAGAGGACCGGAUUGGACCGACCGCUGGUGCACCAGUUGUCCCGCCAGGGGCACCGCUGGGUAGCUACGUCGGGAAGGGAUAAGCGCUGAAAGCAUAUAAGCGCGAAACCCACCACAAGAUGAGAUUUCUUUAAAGGGCCGUGGGAGACUACCACGUCGAUAGGCCGUAGGUGUAAGGGCGGUAACGUCCCAGCCGAGCGGUACUAAUAGCCCGUAAGCUUAUGUACA
rnacentral:rRNA from 1 species